rnacentral:rRNA from 1 species
UACGUAGGGGGCAAGCGUUGUCCGGAAUCAUUGGGCGUAAAGAGCGUGUAGGCGGCUCGGUAAGUCCGUUCUGAAAGUCCAGGGCUCAACCCUGGGAUGCGGAUGGAUACUGCCGGGCUCGAGUCCGGAAGAGGCGAGUGGAAUUCCCGGUGUAGCGGUGGAAAUGCGCAGAUAUCGGGAGGAACACCAAUGGCGAAGGCAGCUCGCUGGGACGUGACUGACGCUGAGACGCGAAAGCGUGGGGAGCA